rnacentral:lncRNA from 1 species
GCAGUGAACAGGACAGACCAAGUCCCUGUCCAUGUGGAGUUUGUGUUCUAGUGGGGGAGACAGGUAAUAAACAAGUGAGCAAACACACAAGUUAAGAAAACAUUCUUAGCUAGCAGUAGGAGGGCUGGACUUGACCUACAGGCCAUAGAUCAUCGACUGUGCCUGUAUCAUUCCUCAUCAAUGGUCCUCUGGCAUCUGAAUCUUUCCUUUUUUAACUCCAGCCAACAGAAGAAAGGUGCUGUUUUUAGAAAGCAUCAAUCAUGUAUUGAGUCAAAAUAUGCCUUCUUGUAUCACUCAUCCAACAAACACUUUGGAAAGAAAUUUAAACAUUUCAACUUUAUAGGAUGGAAGUUUGGGGAUAUACAUAAAGUUAGAGAGAACAGUGUGAUGACCCUCUAGGUGCCCAUCACCCAGUACUGACCAUUAUCAGCGCGUGGCCAAUCUUGUCUCAUCUCCACCUGCCACCCUGCAUAGAUUCUUUGAAAGGAAAUCUCA